GGCUGCUUCUCCGGGUAGCAUCGCCCAGGACACGUUCUACCAAUUAAACAGGUGACCGCGUUUCCAGAAGCAAUUACGGAGAGCUGCACUGCCUCCCAAGGCGAGGUGAUUAAGGAGAGUGCUCGAGGCCGCCGUGCGGCUGGAAGCAGGGCCCCGAGGGGUCAGGGGACCGAGGGGUCAGGGGACCGCAGGGACGCCAGGCUGCGCGGCUCCCUGCCCCCGAGCGCGCGUGCGCCAGCGGAGAGGGUCCCGCGGAGGAAGCUGGAGUUGGGAGAAGAGGAAGCUGGACACGGCCGGGGAGGCCCUCAGCCCCAGACUUCAGAGCCACAGCUGGGUCUCUGAGCCCCUGUCCUUCCCGUCUCCUUCUCUGGUGUGUGCCAGUUUGGAAAAAAGAUUUGUGCGAAUCUCGGCUCCAUCCCAGGGGUCAGGGAGGCGCGCUGCCUGCUUGGGAGCGAGAAGGAACGAACUGUCCCGGGUCUCCCUGGUGAGAAACCUUUGCCACAGUCUCCUUGACUUCCUCACAAAGGCUGGUGAGCCGCUGGAGGCCGCCCACGUGGGGAAAGUCGCAGCACCUUUGGAGCAGGAAGGAUGGAGUCAGAAGUGGCCCCGACCAGCCUCCUUCCUGGCUGAGGCUCGGGAAAGGGCGGCUCUGGCUGCUCCCCACGUUCUCCAACUCCAAGGAACAACCCUGCCCGCCCCGCCUUCCUUCCACCUGCUCUCUGGAUCACCUGUAAGAAUUCCCCCUCAGCCCUUGCGGGGCAGACUGCUGUCGUGUUGGUGGAGGAGGACAGCUGUAGCUGGCUUGUGAAGGACGGCAGGUCCUGUGAUGUUCACUGCUCCCCACACACAUAUUUCUACCUUUUCUUGAAGCUGCUUUGAAUUGGUUUGCAUUUUGGGAACCAAAGGACCCCUAGGAUAGAAGACAAGAGCACGGACUCCAGGACCCACAGGCUUCAGUAGUUGUGGUGCACGGACUUAGCUGCCCUGAAGCUUUUGGGAUCUUCCCGGACCAGGCUGACAAGCAAGACUGAGAGGGGAGAUGGGAAGGUCGUUACGAAAAUGAAGUGCACAGCUAAGUGGCACGCCGCUGCCACCCACCUGCCCGCGCAGAGUGACUGAGACGUGGGAAGCAAGCCCCGCUUGCCUCACUCCGGGGGCUCCUGGCUGGGCCGGGGGUCAGCACCACGGACAGGGCACAGCUUCAUUCUGCUUUCCCUUGGUCUGGCACGCCAGCUCCUUCUGCUCCCUGAUAAAGUUUGUUUUUCCUAAGCCUCAGAUGGGGUGUCAUCCCCCUCUGGAAAUCUUGAGUGCAGCCCCAGAUGGUGUCUGCAGGGCAAUCUUUGCACAAUCUCAUAGCACCUAUGACAGGGUGUUAAAAUGCUUCAUUUCCUUGGCUGUUUUCCCUGCUCAUUUGUAAACCACCUUGAACGCAGGGUGUGUGUUACCCUCUCCAUAUUCCUGAGUCCUGACCACGUGCCCAGCACUCAGGGAGAGAAUUUGUUGGGGAAUGAAUGAAUGAGCCGGUGAAUAAAUGCGUAGAUGGACAAUGUGUUCAAUGAAAGAAUCAAUGGGUAUAGAAUCCCGGCUUGGCUAUUGAAGGGGUGGGUAAAGAUGCAGAUACAAAAAGA